rnacentral:rRNA from 1 species
CCUACGGGAGGCAGCAGUGGGGAAUAUUGCACAAUGGGGGAAACUCUGAUGCAGCGACGCCGCGUGAAGGAAGAAGUAUUUCGGUAUGUAAACUUCUAUCAGCAGGGAAGAAAGUGACGGUACCUGACUAAGAAGCAGCGGCUAACUACGUGCCAGCAGCCGCGGUAAUACGUAGGGGGCACGCGGUAUCCGGAUUUACUGGGUGUAAAGGGAGCGUAGGCGGCGAUGCAAGUCAGAAGGGAAAGCCCGGGGCUAAACCCGGGAACUGAUGUUGAAACUGGAUGGCUAGAUUGCAGGAGGGGCAGUGGGAAUCCCUGGUGUAGCGGUGAAAUGCGUAGAUAUUAGGAGGAACACCGGUGGCGAAGGC